GCAAUGCGCCGGCUGCCGACAUCGCCGGAAAAGAGCGACGCGGGCGCGCAACGUGCGUUCGCGGACGGCGAAGCGCGCAUCUCGGCCGCGACCGCGCGAAUGGCGGAAGCGAACCUGCGGCUCGUGCUGUCGAUCGCGCGCAAGUACGCGUCGCGCGGCCUGGAUCUCGCCGAUCUGCUGCAGGAAGGCAACCUCGGCCUGCUGCGCGCGAUCGAGAAAUUCGAGCAUCGGCGCGGCUUCAAGUUUUCGACGUAUGCGACGUGGUGGAUUCGUCAGGCGAUUUCGCGCGCGAUCGCCGAGCGCGCACGCACGAUUCGCGUGCCGGUUCAUGUCGGCGACGAAGCGCGCCGCGUGCGCAAGGCCGCCGAUCGGAUCGAACGGCGCAGCGGUGUAAGCGCAUCGCUCGCCGAGCUGUCGGAGGCGACCGGGCUGCCGGCCGAGCGGCUGCGCGCGGUGCUGACGCUGCCUCGCGAGCCGCGCUCGCUGAACGCGCCGCUAGGCGAUGACGACCAGGCCGAAUUCGGCGACAUCGUCGAGGAUACGUCGACGCCGAGCCUGUUCGAUGCGCUCGCCCACGGGCAGAUGUGCGACGUCGUCACGUCGCUGCUGAAAACGAUGUCCGCGCAGGAAGCCGACAUCCUGCGCCGGCGCUUCGGCAUCGGCGGCGACGAGCCGUGGAGCUACGAGCAGAUCGCCGCGCGAGCGGGCGUGUCGCGCGAGCAGGUACGCCGCAUCGAGAAGCGCGCGCUGCAGACGCUGCGCGUGACGGCCGAAGCGUGCAACGCGCACGACUUCCUCGACGUGCAGCCGUAACGCCCGCCGCGCCGCGCGUCACACGCUGAAGCGGUUCAGCGUAUAGGCGCGGUAAGCGGCGACGAACGCGUCGAACGAUCCGGCGUUCUUGCCUUCGAGUUCGGCCUGCUCGGCAAGCGAGCGCUCGGCGAGCGCCCGCGCGUCGCGCGUCGCGGCUUCGUCGAGCGGGCGGCCAUGGAAAUACGCCGCAUGCGCGGCGCUUUGCGCGCGUGCGAACUCGAGGAACGACUGUCCGUUCUCGCGCAUCGCGCGCAGCACGCGCGCGGAAGACGUGAGCUCCGGAUCGUCCAGCUUCGCGCGCUGCGCGGCGAUCGCGCGCGCAUGCGUGUCGUCGCCGCGGAUGUCGUCGAGCACGCGGCCCGCGGCUUCGAUCUGCGCGAAGAUCUCGUCGGCCCAUGCACGCAUCGGCACGGCCGCGCCGUCGCGCGUCAGUUCGAGCCCCGGCUUGCGCCCUUCCAUCGUCACGCGGCCGAAAUUCGCAUUCGACUCGCGAUACGCAUCGCACGUGAGCGGCGCGCUCUCGUCGAGCGCGCAGACGAGCAGGUACGCGUCGAGAAAGCGCGCGGUGUCGAGUGCGAUGCCCGUCGGCUCGAACGGAUCGAUGUCGAG
rnacentral:rRNA from 3 species